AACGAACGCUGGCGGCAUGCCUAACACAUGCAAGUCGAACGAGACCUUCGGGUCUAGUGGCGCACGGGUGCGUAACGCGUGGGAAUCUGCCCUUGGGUUCGGAAUAACUCGCCGAAAGGCGUGCUAAUACCGGAUGAUGACGUAAGUCCAAAGAUUUAUCGCCCAAGGAUGAGCCCGCGUUGGAUUAGCUAGUUGGUGAGGUAAAGGCUCACCAAGGCGACGAUCCAUAGCUGGUCUGAGAGGAUGAUCAGCCACACUGGGACUGAGACACGGCCCAGACUCCUACGGGAGGCAGCAGUGGGGAAUAUUGGACAAUGGGCGAGAGCCUGAUCCAGCAAUGCCGCGUGAGUGAUGAAGGCCUUAGGGUUGUAAAGCUCUUUUACCCGGGAUGAUAAUGACCGUACCGGGAGAAUAAGCUCCGGCUAACUCCGUG
rnacentral:rRNA from 1 species